CUCGGGAAUAUCUCCAAGGCCGGGGGGGAAGAGAGAGAGAAACGACGCGAAACUCAUACAAUCACAUCGUAGCCGUUGAUUUUUUUUUCUCUUUUUUAGCCACAUCGAACUCCAACCGUCCGUAUCUUCAACGGCGGUGGCUGUCAUCGCGUCUCCGCCGUCCGAUUACCGAUCCCCGGUGAGCCGCCUCUCGCAUUGGUUCGAAUUCGGUCGCUUUUCAGUUUUUUUUUUUCCUGGACAGAAUUGUGGAAAAAUAUAUGAGGUCUCAGUAUAUCCAUUUGCCACUUUGUUUUAGAAAUAUUGGAACUACUUUAAGAAUUUCUUGCGGAGAAAUUGAAAAGUGAUUCAAUUUUGCUGAAACAGUUAGCGAAUUUGUAUAGUUUUUAUUAUUUUGAGAAUUUUAUUUUAUUUUGGGAGUAUUAAUUUGUGUUUUUUCAAUCGUACAAACCAAAUUAUGGAAAAAUCGUGGAUUGUUGUAGGUGAUUAAUCAGAGAUGGAUUUCUGUUUCAGUUAUCUGAGUUUGUUUUAGUUCAAAAUUUGGUUUCCUCGGUCAGUGUCUCCUGGUUAGAAUUCUUGUAUAUGAUGGACAAGAUGAUUUAUUAAUAUUGUUGGACUGGGAAUAUUUUGUUUCCAAAUAGAAUCCUUGUUUUAACAGAGUGAAGGGAUUCUUUUGGCAAUCUAACUUUUAUUGUUGAUCAUUAAUUAGUUUAAGGGCUUCAAUUUAUUCUUUAAUAAGGAACAUGAUACCAUGUGGUGAUUUAGAUAGCACCCUCGAAUUCUUUUAGACUGCAAACACCCUAGCAUCUAUAUCGCCAAUGUAUGUUUGUUAUUUUCCCUCUUUUCUUACGGGCCUACUUUUUUCAAGUCGAUGAUUAUUCAGAUCAUGUAGGCACCUAAGUUGAGAUGAAGGUAUGUUAGAAGAAAUUAUUUUGGUUCUGCAUUUUCUUUUCAUUUAUUUAUUAUUUAUUUAUUUUGAAUGUCAAUAUUCUUUUCAGAAAAUUAGUUCAUAGAACUUGGCGGACAUGGUGAUGGUUGCCAGUAUGGAUGAAUAUUUGGGAAACCCCAUAAUCAGGCUACUCAUGCCUACUUGGUCAUAGAUUUUUUUCAGAGCAUUAGCAGAUGGCAUCUUCAAUGUAGCAGUUUCCCUGAGUCUCUCCUUUUUUGCUGCAAGCCAUCCAAUGUGAUAAUUAAAGAAGCAAUUCGAAUUUCUUUUUCUCAAUUAUGGUUAUCUUCAGCAUUCCCACGUUCAUUGCUGGCAUUUGAGUUUGGUGUCUGCAUGAGAGAAAGGUUCUCUGCUAUCGCCAUCUGUGCUGCAGGCUUCAAGAUCUUCAAUUUCUUCUCUUCACGUUCCCUGAUCUGGAGCACUCUGUACACACAGAUAUGGCAGUUGCAACUUUUAGAGAAGCCCUUAGUGGUGAAUAUUGUGGGAAUAAGAGAUUGGAAAGAAAACCUUCUGGAAGGAGGCGUGUAUUUGUUCAGACUGAAACUGGCUUUGUUUUGGGUAUGGAAUUAGACAGGAUUGACAAUGCCCAUACUGUAAAGAGGAAAUUACAGCUUGCCCUUAAUGUGCCAACUGAGGAAAGGUCAUUGAUUUUUGGGGAUACAGUGUUAAAAAAUGAUCUGAGUGCUGUUAGGAAUGAUUCUCCUCUUCUUCUCACCAAGAACUCCAUGCAUAGAAGCUCAUCUACCCCAUGUCUUUCACCUACUGUGAAGGAUCUUCAGCAGAGCGACCAGAGUGGUCCAAUUGAGAUAUUAGGAUUUUCAGAUCAUUUUGCCCAAGUAAAAGAAUUGGUGAAGGAAAUUGUAAAAGCAAUGAAGAUUGGUGUUGAUCCUAGUCCUAUUUGUAGCGGGCUUGGAGGGGCAUACUAUUUCAAAAAUUGCCAUGGUGAAAAUGUGGCUAUUGUAAAGCCCACAGAUGAGGAACCAUAUGCCCCUAAUAAUCCAAAAGGCUUUGUUGGCCAAGCUCUAGGGCAGCCAGGCUUGAAACGUUCAGUGAGGAUUGGGGAGACGGGUUUCAGAGAAGUAGCAGCUUAUCUUCUUGACGAUAAUCACUUUGCUAAUGUGCCCUCAACUGUCCUUGUGAAGGUCACCCACUCAAUAUUCAAUGUUAAUGAUGGGGUGAAGGGAAAUAAGCAGCAACAGAGAACGGAGGUUAGCAAAAUUGCAUCAUUGCAGCAGUUUAUACCUCAUGAUUUUGAUGCCAGUGAUUAUGGGACUUCAAGUUUUCCUGUUGCUGCUGUGCAUAGGAUAGGGAUAUUAGAUAUACGGAUAUUGAACACAGACAGACAUGCUGGGAACCUUCUGGUCAGGAAGCUUGAUGGGAUUGGGAGGUUUGGUCAGGUGGAGCUUGUUCCAAUUGACCAUGGCCUUUGCCUACCAGAAAGCUUGGAGGAUCCUUACUACGAGUGGAUCCAUUGGCCACAAGCAUCCAUUCCUUUUUCUGAGGAUGAGCUUGAGUAUAUUAGUUGUCUUGACCCCUUAAAAGAUUCUGAUAUGCUUCGAAGGGAGUUGCCCAUGAUUCGAGAAGCAUGUCUCAGGGUCUUGGUGGUUUGCACAGUUUUCCUCAAGGAAGCAGCAGCUUUUGGUCUCUGUCUUGCUGAGAUUGGAGAGAUGAUGAGUAGGGAGUUUCGAGGCCACAUGGAAGAGCCUAGUGAACUUGAGCUUAUAUGCAUUCAGGCGAGGAGUUUGUUAGGGGAGACAGAAUAUCUUUCUUAUGAGGUGAAAGCAGGAGAUAGCGAGGAGUUUCAGUUUGACAUUGAUUGUGAGGGUGAGUUAGAUUUGACUUUAAAUGCAGGAGAAAAAUUGGAAAUGAAACCUCUAUGUCCAGGGUCCAGUGGUGUAAAUGCCCAAACUCUUCUUUCCAAACAGAUGGAAAGUCUGGAGGAGAAAGAUGAGGAGGAAAUUGAAGACUGUGAAGGGAAUGAGUUGACUUUAAGAACAGAUGAAUAUGCUGACCCCAUGCAGGACCAUGUUUCAUCCAUUUCGAAGAUGUCAAUGUUGUUGAAAAGUAUCAGUGUUGGUGAGAAGAGUUGGCGACAUGAGGAUGUGAUGCAGAAGAGCGGCUAUUUGGCUGGUACAUCAUCUGGAAAUAGGAGUGCAAAUGAGCAGCUUGCUGCGAGCACCACUUUUGUGAAGCUGGCUGAUUUGACUGAAAGGGAGUGGAUGCAGUUCCUUGAGCAUUUACAGAAGUUACUAUGCCCAGCUUUUGCUAAUCGUAAAUCGGGGAAUGUUGGUCAGAGGCAUAGACAGAGGCUUGGAACAUCUUGCCAGUUUUGAGGGUUAGUUAAUGGAUGCUAUAAAUGUGGGAAAUGAUAACUAGAAAAAAUUGCAAUCAGAAAUACGUAAGUGAUUUUGGUGUGUAAGGAGGAUGGAUUUCAUUUAUGAUUUGGAAUAAUGUUAUGUUGCCGAAAUUUGGGAUGGUACAAUGUGGUCAUCAGCUGCUUGAGGUGAGGCCUAAGUUUUUAUUCUUCUAUAUGUAGUCUCUCUGUUUUGUUUUCUUUUUUGGUUGCACUGCUCCAUGUUCAGCACAAUGAGUGUCGAAUAUAACAAAAAUAGAGUGUGUAGGGAAUAAAUAAGACAUGUAUAGGUAUGGGUGUCAUGUAGGAGUUAUUUAUGCUUUGACUUAUUCUCAGGUAUUUGCUGUGUCCUCCUCCCUUUUGUAGUGAGAGAGGAGAAUAAUGGUUAAUGUCUCUUUGCUGUUCAGUGUCUGAUAUAUGUGAUUUCUUAUGUUUAGCAUUUUUGGCUUGUAGAUUUUACUCGUAUUCAGAUCAAUAAACGUACAGUGCAAAAUGGAGGAUUAAUUGCACCAUCUGUUUCUCAAACUCGAGGAUUAAUUUAUUUCACUUUUGUCUUUAAACUUUUCUGAUAUUCAUGCAUUUUGUUCCAUAAAAAUUUAUUUCUUUUGACCU
rnacentral:misc_RNA from 1 species